rnacentral:rRNA from 1 species
UACGGAGGGGGCUAGCGUUGUUCGGAAUUACUGGGCGUAAAGCGCGCGUAGGCGGCUUUGUAAGUUAGAGGUGAAAGCCCGGAGCUCAACUCCGGAACUGCCUUUAAGACUGCAUCGCUAGAACGUUGGAGAGGUGAGUGGAAUUCCCGGUGUAGUGGUGAUAUGCGUAGAUAUCGGGAGGAACACCUGUGGCGAAGGCGGCUUUCUGGGCCUUACCUGACGCUGAGACGCGAAAGCGUGGGGAGCGAACCGG